rnacentral:rRNA from 1 species
GACGAACGCUGGCGGCGUGCUUAACACAUGCAAGUCGAACGGAAAGGCCCUGCUUUUGUGGGGUGCUCGAGUGGCGAAGGGGUGAGUAACACGUGAGUAACCUCCCCUUGACUUUGGGAUAACUUCAGGGAACUGGGGCUAAUACCGGAUAGGAGCUCCUGCUGCAUGGUGGGGGUUGGAAAGUUUCGGCGGUUGGGGAUGGUCUCGCGGCUUAUCAGCUUGUUGGGGGGGUAGUGGCGUACCAAGGCUUUGACGGGUAGCCGGCCUGAGAGGGUGGCCGGGCACAUUGCGACUGAGAUACGGCCCAGACUCCUAUGGGAGGCAGCGGUGGAGAAUAUUGCACAGUGGGCGGAAGCCUGAUGCAGCGACGCCGCGUGCGGGAUGACGGCCUUCGGGUUGUAAACCGCUUUCGCAUGUGACGAAGAGUGAGUGACGGUAAUGGGUAAAGAAGCCCCGGCUAACUACGUG